GGAUGGUCCGAGUGCAGUGGUAUUUACAACUAAUUUAUCACAACCAAUCACAGAUUUCUUUAUUCCUUCUCCACUCCCUACUGCUUCACUUGACAAGCCAAAA
ensembl:misc_RNA Y_RNA Y RNA